CAGUCGCCGCGGUAAUACGUAGGUGGCAAGCGUUGUCCGGAAUUAUUGGGCGUAAAGGGCUCGCAGGCGGUUUCUUAAGUCUGAUGUGAAAGCCCCCGGCUCAACCGGGGAGGGUCAUUGGAAACUGGGAAACUUGAGUGCAGAAGAGGAGAGUGGAAUUCCACGUGUAGCGGUGAAAUGCGUAGAGAUGUGGAGGAACACCAGUGGCGAAGGCGACUCUCUGGUCUGUAACUGACGCUGGGGAGCGAAAGCGCGGGGAGCGAACAGGAUUAGAUACCCCCGUAGUCCCUGUCUCUUAUAC
rnacentral:rRNA from 1 species